CCUACGGGGGGCUGCAGUCGAGGAUCUUCGGCAAUGGGCGCAAGCCUGACCGAGCGACGCCGCGUGCGGGAUGAAGGCCUUCGGGUUGUAAACCGCUGUCAGUGGGGAGGAAAUGCCGGUGGGUUCUCUCAUCGGUUUGACCUAUCCGCAGAGGAAGGACGGGCUAAGUUCGUGCCAGCAGCCGCGGUAAGACGAACCGUCCAAACGAUAUUCGGAUUAACUGGCCUUAAAGGGUGCGAAGGUUGGGCGGGAAAGCCCUCGGCUCAACCGAGGAAUUGCGCCCAAAACUACCGGGCUCGAGGGAGAUAGAGGUGAGCGGAACUUAGGGUGGAGCGGUGAAAUGCGUUGAUAUCCUAAGGAACACCUGUGGCGAAAGCGGCUCACUGGGUCUCUUCUGACGCUGAGGCACGAAAGCCAGGGGAGCGAACGGGAUUAGAUACCCUGGUAGUC
rnacentral:rRNA from 1 species